AACGAACGCUGGCGGCAGGCUUAACACAUGCAAGUCGAACGCACUCUUCGGAGUGAGUGGCAGACGGGUGAGUAACGCGUGGGAACGUACCUUUCGGUUCGGAAUAACCCAGGGAAACUUGGGCUAAUACCGGAUGCGCCGGAAACGGGAAAGAUUUAUCGCCGAAAGAUCGGCCCGCGUCGGAUUAGCUAGUUGGUGGGGUAAAGGCCUACCAAGGCGACGAUCCGUAGCUGGUCUGAGAGGAUGAUCAGCCACACUGGGACUGAGACACGGCCCACGACUCCUACGGGAGGCAGCAGUGGGGAAGUAUUGGACAAUGGGCGAAAGCCUGAUCCAGCCAUGCCGCGUGAGUGAAGAAGGCCUUAGGGUUGUAAAGCUCUUUCAGCGGGGACGAUAAUGACGGUACCCGCAGAAGAAGCCCCGGCUAACUUCGUGCCAG
rnacentral:rRNA from 1 species